UCUGGGUAUGCAUGGUUCGCAUAGUGUUGAACCUAUGAUAGAUGGGUGAGGUACCAGCUUGUUAGUCCAAUCCAUGAAAGAGAGCACACCUGCUGCUCUGAAAAGCCAGCUCAAGAAGUCCCCGGUAUUCUUAACAUCGGAGGCUUAAACAUGCAUAAUACCACCCAACAACAAAUGGGCCAACACUAUGCGAACCAUGCAUACCCAGACAGGGAAUGGCAAGCCGGCAAGGGCCCACUUAGCCUCACC
rnacentral:misc_RNA from 1 species